UGCUCCCAUUGCUCUGUAAUGGGAUGGGAUCCGAAGCCCUCCGAGGGAUAACAUAGGCUCUUCCAUCCAACUCCUAUUCCGACACGUCCUCGUCGUGCAGAAUGGUAACAUCUGCCUCCAUAUAUCCUAGCUUGGGUACACGGGCUAGAUCCAACACCUUGGGCGGAUGGUGGCAUAUGGCGAACCAGGAGGGG
rfam:Anopheles gambiae M scf_1925491173 genomic scaffold, whole genome shotgun sequence.